CCCCAGACUCCUACGGGAGGCAGCAGUGGGGAAUAUUGCACAAUGGGGGGAACCCUGAUGCAGCGACGCCGCGUGGGUGAAGGAGCACCUCGGUGCGUAAAGCCCUAUCGGCAGGGAAGAAACAGACGGUACCUGACUAAGAAGCCCCGGCUAACUACGUGCCAGCAGCCGCGGUAAUACGUAGGGGGCAAGCGUUAUCCGGAUUUACUGGGUGUAAAGGGAGCGUAGACGGUCCUGCAAGCCAGAUGUGAAAGCCCGGGGCUCAACCCCGGGACUGCAUUUGGAACUGUAAGGCUAGAGUGUCGGAGAGGCAAGUGGAAUUCCUGGUGUAGCGGUGAAAUGCGUAGAUAUCAGGAGGAACACCAGUGGCGAAGGCGGCUUGCUGGACGAUGACUGACGUUGAGGCUCGAAAGCGUGGGGAGCAAACAGGAUUAGAUACCCCAGUAGA
rnacentral:rRNA from 1 species